rnacentral:rRNA from 1 species
UACAGAGGUGGCAAGCGUUGUUCGGAAUUACUGGGCGUAAAGGGCGCGUAGGCGGCCAUCUAAGUCAGACGUGAAAUCCCCCGGCUUAACCUGGGAACUGCGUCUGAUACUGGACGGCUUGAGUUUGGGAGAGGGAUGCGGAAUUCCAGGUGUAGCGGUGAAAUGCGUAGAUAUCUGGAGGAACACCGGUGGCGAAGGCGGCAUCCUGGACCAUUACUGACACUGAAAAGCGAAAGCCAGGGGAGCAAACGGG